rnacentral:rRNA from 1 species
CCAAUAGCGUAUAUUAAAGUUGUUGCAGUUAAAAAGCUUGUAGUUGAAUUUCGGGAUUGACACAUCGGUCGUGCCUUAAGGGGUAUGAACUGGUGUAGUCAGUUUCUCACCUUCUGGAGAACUGCGAUGUCCUUAAUUGGGUGCCGUGAGGAACCAGGACCUUUACUUUGAAAAAAUUAGAGUGUUUAAAGCAGGCAUUU